UACGUAGGGUGCGAGCGUUAAUCGGAAUUACUGGGCGUAAAGCGUGCGCAGGCGGUUCUAUAAGACAGCUGUGAAAUCCCCGGGCUCAACCUGGGAAUUGCAUUUGUGACUGUAGAGCUAGAGUACGGUAGAGGGGGAUGGAAUUCCGCGUGUAGCAGUGAAAUGCGUAGAUAUGCGGAGGAACACCGAUGGCGAAGGCAAUCCCCUGGACCUGUACUGACGCUCAUGCACGAAAGCGUGGGGAGCAAACAGG
rnacentral:rRNA from 1 species